GAUGAACGCUGGCGGCGUGCCUAAUACAUGCAGGUCGAGCGAACGGACGAGAAGCUUGCUUCUCUGAUGUUAGCGGCGGACGGGUGAGUAACACGUGGAUAACCUACCUAUAAGACUGGGAUAACUUCGGGAAACCGUAGCUAAUACCGGAUAAUAUUUUGAACCGCAUGGUUCAAAAGUGAAAGACGGUCUUGCUGUCACUUAUAGAUGGAUCCGCGCUGCAUUAGCUAGUUGGUAAGGUAACGGCUUACCAAGGCAACGAUGCAUAGCCGACCUGAGAGGGUGAUCGGCCACACUGGAACUGAGACACGGUCCAGACUCCUACGGGAGGCAGCAGUAGGGAAUCUUCCGCAAUGGGCGAAAGCCUGACGGAGCAACGCCGCGUGAGUGAUGAAGGUCUUCGGAUCGUAAAACUCUGUUAUUAGGGAAGAACAUAUGUGUAAGUAACUGUGCACAUCUUGACGGUACCUAAUCAGAAAACCACGGCUAACUACGU
rnacentral:rRNA from 1 species